AUGCCUGAAAAAGGUUUUAUAAUUAAUAACGGAACAGGAACAGGAUGAACAAUUUAUCCCCCUUUAUCUAAUAAUAUUGCUCAUAAUAAUAUUUCAGUUGAUUUAUAACAAUUUUUUCUCUACAUUUAGCAGGAAUCUCAUCAAUUUUAGGAGCAAUUAAUUUUAUUUGUACAAUUUUAAAUAUAAUACCUAAUAAUAUAAAAUUAAAUCAAAUUCCAUUAUUCCCUUGAUCAAUUUUAAUUACAGCUAUAUUAUUAAUUUUAUCCUUACCUGUUUUAGCUGGUGCAAUUACUAUACUUCUUACUGAUCGUAAUUUAAAUACAUCAUUCUUUGACCCUGCAGGAGGAGGAGAUCCAAUUCUUUAUCAACAUUUAUUCUGAUUUUUUGGACAUCCAGAAGUAUAUAUUUUAAUUUUACCCGGAUUUGGAUUAAUUUCACAUAUUAUUAGUCAAGAAAGUAAUAAAAACGAAACAUUCGGUAAUAUUAGUAUAAUCUAUGCUAUACUAACUAUUGGAUUAUUAGGAUUUAUUGUAUGAGCACAUCAUAUAUUUACAAUUGGAAUAGACGUUGAUACACGAGCAUAUUUUACAUCAGCAACUAUAAUUAUUGCAAUUCCAACAGGAAUUAAAAUUUUUAGAUGAUUAGCUACUAUUUAUGGAUCUAAAAUUAAUUUUUCACCUUCCACAAUUUGAUCUUUAGGUUUUAUUUUUUUAUUCACAAUUGGAGGAUUGACAGGAGUAAUUCUUGCUAAUUCAUCUAUUGAUAUCAUUCUUCACGAUACUUACUAUGUAGUAGCUCAUUUCCACUAUGUAUUAUCAAUAGGAAUUGUAUUUGCUAUUAUUGCUAGUUUAAUUCAUUGAUUCCCAAUUUUCACUGGAUUUUCAAUAAAUAAUUUUAUUUUAAAAAUUCAAUUCAUUUUAAUAUUUAUUGGGGUAAAUAUAACUUUCUUCCCCCAACAUUUUUUAGGUUUAAAUGGUAUACCUCGACGAUACACAGAUUACCCAAAUAAUUUUUUACUAUGAAAUAUAAUUUCAUCAAUUGGUUCAAUAAUUUCAACAUUUAGAAUUAUUAUUUUAAUUUAUUGUAUUUGAAAUAGAAUUUUUUUUAAAAAAAAACAACUAUUUUUAAAUUAAAUUUAAGAAAUUCUAUUGAAUGAAUUCAUAAUUUACCACCCUUAGAACAUUCAUAUUCAGAAUUACCUCUAAUUAUUAAUUUCUAAUAUGGCAGAAACUAUAUGCAAUGAACUUAAAAUUCAUUUAUAAAGAAUAAUCUUUUUUUAGAAAUUAUAACUUGAAUAAAACUAAGAUUUCAAAAUAGUAAUUCACCACUAAUAGAACAAUUAAUUUUUUUUUCACGAUCAUACAAUUUUCAUUAUUAUUAUAAUUAUAACAACAAUUACUUAUAUAAUAAUUUUUAUUAUAAAAAAUAAAUUUAUUAAUAUUAAAAUCUCUGAAAAUCAAAUAAUUGAAUUUAUCUGAACUACAACUCCACCAAUUAUUUUAAUUUUUAUUGCUAUACCUUCACUUCACCUACUAUACUUAAUAGAUGAAAUUAAAUGCCCAAUUUUAACAAUUAAAAUUUUUGGUCAUCAAUGAUUCUGAUCAUAUGAAUAUUCAGAUUUUUCAAAUAUUGAAUUUGAAUCUUAUAUAAUAAAUGAAUUAAAUAAAGAAAAUUUUCGAUUAAUUGAAGUAGAUAAUAAAACUAUUAUCCCAUUUAAAUUUAAUAUUCGACUCUUAAUUUCGUCAGACGAUGUAAUUCAUUCAUGAACAAUUCCAAGUUUAGCUAUUAAAAUUGAUGCAAUCCCAGGACGAAUAAAUCAAAUUAAUCUUUUUAUAAAUCGACCAGGAAUAUACUUUGGACAAUGCUCAGAAAUUUGUGGUAUUAAUCACAGAUUUAUACCUAUUCAAAUUGAAUCAAUUAAUUUAAAUAAAUUUAUUUAUUGAAUUAAAAAUUUUUAAUU